rnacentral:rRNA from 1 species
CGCGCAGGUGGGUUAGCAAGUCAGAGGUGAAAUCCUACAGCUUAACUGUAGAACUGCCUUUGAGACUGCUAAUCUUGAGUACGGAAGAGAGAGAUGGAAUUCCAGGUGUAGUGGUGAAAUACGUAGAUAUCUGGAAGAACACCAGCGGCGAAGGCGAUCUCUUGGUCCUUUACUGACGCUAAGGCGCGAAAGCGUGGGGAGCAAACA